AACGCGUCGAAUAAGCCUAAUUUCAUCGAAAUCGGAGAUAAUAUCCAGAAAAUAACUAUGCCAAACUCUUGCGUGCAAAUAAAAAUUCAGCGACUAAGGAAUUUCUUAUAAAACAUUUCCCGAGAAAUCCAGGCAGAAAGGCUCAAUGGGUUAUAAAUAUUCCAUGAGCAUAUUGGAUACUCAUGGAUUUCAGCUGUAUUUGUGAGGAAGAAAAUAAACCCAGAUAACGUGCAAAAUCUUUAAGGACUUUGAUUGGUAUAGUUUUUUAUGCAUUAUGCAUACAGAUGUAA